rnacentral:rRNA from 1 species
CCAUCCCGAACACGGAAGUUAAGCUUCUCAGCGCCGAUGGUAGUUGGGGGUUUCCCCCUGUGAGAGUAGGACGCCGCCGGGC